UACAGAGGGUGCAAGCGUUGUUCGGAAUUAUUGGGCGUAAAGGGCGCGUAGGUGGUGCGGCAAGUUGGGAGUGAAAUCUCUGGGCUUAACUCAGAGGCUGCUUUCAAAACUGCCGCGCUCGAGUGCGAGAGAGGUCAGUGGAAUUGCAGGUGUAGCGGUGAAAUGCGUAGAUAUCUGCAGGAACACCCGUGGCGAAGGCGGCUGACUGGAUCGCAACUGACACUGAGGAACGAAAGCUAGGGGAGCAAACAGG
rnacentral:rRNA from 1 species